rnacentral:snRNA from 1 species
GUCAUUCGGGAACCGACG